UCUAGUGUCCUAGGCGUAGAGGAACCACACCAAUCCAUCCCAAAUUUGGUGGUUAAACUCUACUGCGGUGACGAUACUAUAGGGGAGGUCCUGCGGCAAAAUAGCUCGAUGCCAGAA
rfam:Triticum urartu cultivar G1812 contig580740, whole genome shotgun sequence.